rnacentral:rRNA from 1 species
UACGGAGGGAGCUAGCGUUGUUCGGAAUUACUGGGCGUAAAGCGCGCGUAGGCGGCUUUGUAAGUUAGAGGUGAAAGCCCGGGGCUCAACUCCGGAACUGCCUUUAAGACUGCAUCGCUUGAAUCCGGGAGAGGUGAGUGGAAUUCCGAGUGUAGAGGUGAAAUUCGUAGAUAUUCGGAAGAACACCAGUGGCGAAGGCGGCUCACUGGACCGGUAUUGACGCUGAGGUGACGAAGCGUGGGGAGCAAACAGGAUGAGAACC